GGCGAGAUGGCCGAGCGGUCUAAGGCGCCAGACUAAGGAGACCAGCGCAUUGUAUGCGCUCUAAAUCUGGUCCGAACAGGGCGUGGGUUCGAAUCCCACUCUCGUCA